AAAAUAGUAUACACAGCAAGGCAGGCCAGCCACUGUGUUCCUGAGUCAUGGCUGUCGAAAGGUAACGAUCGGUGGCAAGCGUUGACAGGGGUGAAUAUAGGUCAGGCUAUCGAGCUUCGAAAGUUGCGUUAUUUGGGUGCUGACGGUGUCCCUAGUCGCGGAAGGCGAAACGGGCGGUGGCGUUAUGGCAAGUUACCGUGCGACCCAGCGGAGUCAAAGACCC
rfam:Chromatiales bacterium (ex Bugula neritina AB1) isolate AB1-2 AB833_contig000173, whole genome shotgun sequence.